AAUAUCAAUUAUGCUCCCCAGCUUCCAAGAAACAGCUGACCACAAGGAUGAAACUUGUGUGGGAGGAAGAGGGAGCAUGCUUGGCAGCUGGCCUCAGACACAGGAGUCGCUGCCACAGGAGGACAGCUGCCUCACAGUCUUUCACAAAAGAGGGAAGAUGAGAGACAGUUCAUUAAAAACCAAAGUACAGAAAGCUAGACAAGACAACCUCCUGCUGCUGUGCUGGGAGCUGCCAGUGAACUGAAGCAGAAAUUGGUUUAUUCCCCUACCCUGGACAGAAGGUGCAUCUUGUGUCAUGUCAGUGUGUUCUUCUUCACUGCAGAAGUCCAAACAGGAGCUGUGAAUAUGCAUUGCCUACUUUCCAUCUUCUAUUGUAGCAACUGAAGUGUCAAAGCAUGCUACAUGAAGUGGAUGAAAUUUAACCCUCUUCAAAAAGAGCAAAGGAAGCAGGCAUAAGCCAUUUGGCUUACACACAUGUCUGGCCCACAUUCCUGCAAGAGAUCUGCAUUUACUACGGUGAGAGAGUCCAUCAAAGAAAAAGAGAGAUGUGAAGAGAAGAUUCUUGGAAAUUUGAUGACUGGAAAAAUGAUAGUUCUUGCCAAGGAUUUUUCUGAAGACUGGAAAAAACAACAGGACUGGGGACCAGCUAUCUGUGGGACCAGAAACCCCUGACUGUUACUGACUGAUCGCCCUGUGCCUACAGUCAGACAGAAUUGUACCUAGUAGGUGUUGAGUCUGGAGGAACCUGAUGUCAGUGGAAGACACUUUUCAUCUCAGAGCUUAGUCUUGGGAGACACAAAGUUCAAUAGCAACUGAGCCCUCUAAGGACAUGGACAUAUCCACUCUGUCUGGAGAAUACAAGAAGCGAAGGCAGAAGCUAGAACCUCCAUGGUAAAGAGGACAUGCCUUGCUCACAAAGGAAUAUUGAGAAGAAAGGAAUGGUUUGGCAGAGCAACCACUUCUGCAAUACCUAGAUCAAAAUUCUGGCAUGGUGUUUGAACAGAAGUCUCUUGUGUUAAUAUACAUUGUAUGCUGCCUGACAUAUUGUAUGCUGCUCCUCUUGGGCGAAAUAUUCACAAAAAGCAAAGGCCACAUUUGCUUGACAAAACUUCUGUGAAGCAGCCCAUCUUAAGCAAACAACCUU